rnacentral:rRNA from 1 species
ACGUAGGGUGCAAGCGUUAAUCGGAAUUACUGGGCGUAAAGCGUGCGCAGGCGGUUAUGCAAGACAGAUGUGAAAUCCCCGGGCUCAACCUGGGAACUGCCUUAGUGACUGCAUAGCUAGAGUGCGUCAGAGGGAGGUGGAAUUCCGCGUGUAGCAGUGAAAUGCGUAGAGAUGCGGAGGAACACCGAUGGCGAAGGCAGCCUCCUGGGAUGACACUGACGCUCAUGCACGAAAGCGUGGGGAGCAAACAG